rnacentral:misc_RNA from 1 species
UGAAUGAACUAGAUUAGAAUUCCAUGCACUGAUGUCUACCAGCGCUGUGACACUAUUUUUUAACUGCCUUCCUUGAUUUAAUCAAUUUUCAAACUGCAUCAGACAACACACACUAUACAUGUAUCAGUAUGUAUGUGUGUGUGAAUUGGAUGUAUGUGUUUUUACUUAUUAAUGUUGACUUUUAUACUGUUAAUGUGGAUUAACUUGUACUGUUUGUUAUAAAUAAUUGAAAGUAUGACGUAGAUAAAAGCAGUGAUUUAAAAUACUACUGUAGAAAUGAACACUAUAUUCAAGUUGAAUAAACUAUCAAUUCAU